rnacentral:SRP_RNA from 1 species
GCCGGGCGUGGUGGUGGGCGCCUGUAAUCCCCGCUACUCGGGAGGCUGAGGCAGGAGAAUUGCUUGAACCCGGGAGGCCGAGGUUGCAGUGAGCUGAGAUUGCGCCACUGCACUCCGGCCUGGGUGACACAGCAAGACUCUGUCUCAA